CACAGUUUCUGCUUCUCUGAGUUUCUUGGACAUAAACGAUAAUAAUUAUAAAGAUUUUUCUGCUUCCUUAUUUCACAGAAGAUCUUUGGUUCUGAAUGGUUGUCCAUCCUCCCUGAGAAACCAUAGAAAGUCAGUUGGUUCUUCAUAUCCGUUGCUCAACUUUUGAGCCUUCUAUAAAUUUGAAUUCUCCCUUAGAAAAUACUGUCUUCUUUGUUUUGAGAAUAUUAAAAAGAAGGCCUUCUCAGAGCUGAAAAUUAUUUCCCACUUCAGCUUGACACCCUGCAUUUUAAAAUACAGAGCCAGUUGCCUCCAACAUAUGAAUUAUUUCAGACUUUAGUUUUUUUUUAAAGAUGUUGCAAACAAAGAAUCCCAUUCAAAAAUGGGCAAAGACUCCAAUAGACAUUUCUCCAAGGAAGAUAUACAAAUGGCCAAUAAGCACAUGAAAAGAUGUUCAGCUUCACAAGUCGUUAGGGAAAUGCAAAUCAAGAUCACAAUAAGAUACCAUUUCUUGUCUACUGGAAUGGCUAUUAUCAACAAAGCAGAAAAAACAAGGGUUGAUGAAGAUGUGGAGAAAUAGGAACCCUGUGUAUCGCUGGUGGGAAUGUAAAAUGGUACUGCCACCGUGGAAGGCAGCCUGGCAGUACCUCAGAAAGUUAAACAUAGAAUUCCCAUAUGAUCCAGCAAUUCCAUUUCUGAGUAUGCGCCCAAAAUAAUUGAAAGUAGAGACUCAAGUGGAUAUAUGUACACCCAUGUUCAUAGCAACACCAUUCACAAUAGCCAAAAGGUGCAAACAACCCACAUCAAGGGAUAAACAAAAUGCGGUGCAUCCGCACAACGGAAUAUUAUUCAGUCUUAAAAAGGAAUGACACUCUGACAGGUGCUACAAUACGAAUGAGCCUUGAAAACAAGCUAAGUGAAACAAUCCAGACACAAAAGGACAACGUCAAUGUGUAACUCCACUUAACUAGAAUAGGCAAAGCUAUAGACAAAGUGCAGUGGCAAUUACUGGGCCUGAAGGAAAGCGGAAUGGGCAGUCACUACUCCAGGAUACAGGGUUUCUCUUUGGAAUCAUGAUAAAGUUCUGGGAAUGAAUAAUGGUGGUAAUUUCACAGUAUUGAG
rnacentral:lncRNA from 1 species